GUGCUUGCUUCGGCAGCACAUAUACUAAAAUUGUAAAGAUACACAGAAGAUGAGCAUGGCCCCUGCUCAAGAAUGACAUGCAAAUUUGUGAAGUGUUCCAUAUAUUU